rnacentral:other from 1 species
UGCCUCCUGGGAUGUUUGCCAGUUCAUUCAUGUCCCUGGCCGAUGCUUUUAUAUAAGGAAGUUGACCUCGUUACUAUUGUGCAAGCUCGACUCGUAUCGAGAAGCCUGCGGUAACGAAUAAACUUCCGCCGUGAUCCUUUCGGUUCACGGGCGAAAAUGGACAGCGGCAUUCUGGGAGGCGC